rnacentral:rRNA from 1 species
CGGGGAGGUAGUGACGAAAAAUAACGAUACGGGACUCAUCCGAGGCCCCGUAAUCGGAAUGAGAACACUUUAAAUCCUUUAACGAGGACCAAUUGGAGGGCAAGUCUGGUGCCAGCAGCCGCGGUAAUUCCAGCUCCAAUAGCGUAUAUUAAAGUUGUUGCGGUUAAAAAGCUCGUAGUUGAAUCUGUGUGUCACAGUGUCGGUUCACCGCUCGCGGUGUUUAACUGGCAUUAUGUGGUACGUCCUACCGGUGGGCUUAGCUCCUCGCGGGCGGUCCAACUAAUAUCCCAUCGCGGUGCUCUUGGUUGAGUGUCGAGGUGGGCCGGUACGUUUACUUUGAACAAAUUAGAGUGCUUAAAGCAGGCUACCUUCGCCUGAAUAUUCUGUGCAUGGAAUAAUGGAAUAGGACCUCGGUUCUAUUUUGUUGGUUUUCGGAACCCCGAGGUAAUGAUUAAUAGGGACAGAUGGGGGCAUUCGUAUUGCGACGUUAGAGGUGAAAUUCUUGGAUCGUCGCAAGACGGACAGAAGCGAAAGCAUUUGCCAAAAAUGUUUUCAUUAAUCAAGAACGAAAGUUAGAGGUUCGAAGGCGAUCAGAUACCGCCCUAGUUCUAACCAUAAACGAUGCCAGCUAGCGAUCCGCCGAAGUUCCUCCGAUGACUCGGCGGGCAGCUUCCGGGAAACCAAAGCUUUUGGGUUCCGGGGGAAGUAUGGUUGCAAAGCUGAAACUUAAAGGAAUUGACGGAAGGGCACCACCAGGAGUGGAGCCUGCGGCUUAAUUUGACUC